GAGUAAUUAACAUAUAUUUUAAAUUAAUGUGUAUAUUUUGAAAAUAUAAAAAAAAUUAAUAAAUUUAUUAUUCU
rnacentral:tRNA from 1 species